GGUGAACGCUGGCGGCGUGCCUAAUACAUGCAAGUCGAGCGAACAGAUAAGGAGCUUGCUCCUUUGACGUUAGCGGCGGACGGGUGAGUAACACGUGGGUAACCUACCUAUAAGACUGGGAUAACUUCGGGAAACCGGAGCUAAUACCGGAUAAUAUUUCGAACCGCAUGGUUCGAUAGUGAAAGAUGGUUUUGCUGUCACUUAUAGAUGGACCCGCGCCGUAUUAGCUAGUUGGUAAGGUAAAGGCUUACCAAGGCGACGAUUCGUAGCCGACCUGAGGGGGUGGUCGGCCACACUGGAACUGAGACACGGUCCAGACUCCUACGGUAGGCAGCAGUCGGGAAUCGUCCGCAAUGGUCGAAAGCCUGACGGAGCAACGCCGCGUGAGUGAUGACGGUCUUCGGAUCGUAAAACUCUGUUAUUAGGGAAGAACAUCCGUGUAAGUAACUGUGCACGUCUUGACGGUACCUAAUCAGAAAGCCACGGCUAACUACGUG
rnacentral:rRNA from 1 species